CAAUAGCGUAUAUUUAAGUUGUUGCAGUUAAAAAGCUCGUAGUUGGAUUUCGGAUGGGAUUUGCCGGUCCGUCGUUACGAUGUGCACUGGCCAGUCCUAUCUUGUUGUCGGGGACUAGCUCCUUGGAUUAACUUCCUGGGACUAGGAGCUGACGAGGUUACUUUGAGUAAAUUAGAGUGUUCAAAGCAAGCCUUCGCUCUGAAUACAUUAGCAUGGAAUAACACGAUAGGACUCUGGCUUAUCUUGUUGGUCUGUGAGACCAGAGUAAUGAUUAAGAGGGACAGUCGGGGACAUUCGUAUUUCAUUGUCAGAGGUGGAAUUCUUGGAUUUAUGAAAGACGAACUUCUGCGAAAGCAUUUGUCAAGGAUGUUUUCAUUAA
rnacentral:rRNA from 1 species